rnacentral:rRNA from 1 species
UACGUAGGGCGCAAGCGUUAUCCGGAAUUAUUGGGCGUAAAGAGCUCGUAGGCGGUUUGUCGCGUCUGCCGUGAAAGUCCGGGGCUCAACUCCGGAUCUGCGGUGGGUACGGGCAGACUAGAGUGAUGUAGGGGAGACUGGAAUUCCUGGUGUAGCGGUGAAAUGCGCAGAUAUCAGGAGGAACACCGGUGGCGAAGGCGGCUAUCUGGACAGAAACUGACGCUGAGGCGCGAAAGCUAGGGGAGCAAACAGG